UUUCGGAUUGAGGCGAGUUCAUACGUGUUCCCAUGCCGGCUGGCAGAAGAGAAGCAUGACGCAACGUUGCUUUCCCGAAUAUAUUUGAUUUUAGGAGAUUUCAGAAGUCAUCAAUAUAUAAAAAAUGGAUUCAAUUCCAACGAGCAACAAAGAUAAAUUUCAGUAUCAGUUUAGUGUCUGUGUCGAGUGUCGCGUCUACGUGUCCUUGAGUUUUUCCGACUCGAAGUGCAGUUUUCCACAAAUAUUCCCGGUUGUGUUGUUCCCAUUUCAACGGACGAACAAUGGACAAAAUGGGGAACUUCCGAGGGAAGGAAUACCUGUAUUAUUUGGUGCAUUUUCAUGAGGAUGAGCAGGAAGGUGUCUUCGACAUUGCUCUGAAUGGAUGGAUAACGUGGGUCGCUGACGUCCAACAAUUCUUCUGUAAAUUCCAUACAGGUAAUAAUGAGGAGGAGAAAAAAUUGGCGAAGAAAUUGCUGAACCGCUGCAAAUCACCCCCGAGACAAUGGAGAAAAUAUCCCAUAAAAAUCAGAGGAGGAGCAGAGACUUAUAAAGUAGCAUUGGAAAGUCUGAAGAAACUGGAAGAUCGACCAUAUGCAUUCUCCACGUCAGAUGAAUCGUAUGCUCAAGGUCAGAUUAAUAAGCUAAAGAAGAAAUCGCUUAAAAAGGAAGUUCCAGCCAGUGAGGAAGAAAUUGGAUCACUCUUCUCUGCAGCUGCAGCUGCAGAGACAACGAUGAAACUCAGUUCUCCGGAUCGGAGGACAACAUAAACACAAGUCUUGCAGCUUCACAGAAACGUCCAAAAGGAAAAUGCCACCUCUUUUGGAGGGAUACCCAAUUUCUCCAGAACGAAGAAAAAAUCAAUCAAGAUCCGAAGCCUCCACACCAAAAGGGAGGAAACAUCCGGAACAUAUUAAAGCUAUCAGAGAUGAGAGGAAGUCGUCACAGAUCGUCACGCACUCUCAAUUUUUCGAGUCCGUCAACACCUGUCAACAUUAGCCCUCACCAACCAGAAUUUCAAAGGUCGAACGAUAUCCCUCCGGAGGGGAAUACACAGAAACAACUAAGAAAUUUGACAUCAGCGAUGGGUCAAAUUCAAUCGCAAUUAGUCAAAGUCCUUUCAGCCCUUGACGACGUGAAAGGUAUGUUCAGCGCAAAUUCUUUAUUACCUGCCGAUCAUGGACCACUGAUUGAUUUUCACGAUCAUUAUUGUGAUACUCAAGAAAAAUUAGAGAUUUUCGAGGAAAAACUGCAUUUCGAGUUUCGCAACAUCAUUUGUCAUGGAAUUAAAACGAAAAUUGAUUUAAAAUCCAAGUUGCAGUAUAGUAUUGGGCGAAUUUUAAGAGCUCUAAUGCCCACGAGUGUUCUCGAUCAGUAUACUGCCCAAAAGAAAAAAGGAGAAAAAAAAAAUUAUUGAUUUACAGUUAUGGAAAUGUAUCAAAGUGCAAAUAGCUGAAGAAGCCCGUUCUCAGGGAUUAGCACCAUUUAAAGAUACUGAUUUGAACUUGGGCCCGAGUAACGCAAUCAACAACUACAAAGAUUCCACGAAACUACGUGAUGGUGGUGAGCAGGGCGCAAAAUAAAUCAAGAUAUUAUGAUAGUUAGGUAUAUAGUUUGAGAAAUCGUAUG